GUGAACGUUACAAACUGUUGCCUCGGCGGGAUCUCUGCCCCGGGUGCGUCGCAGCCCCGGACCAAGGCGCCCGCCGGAGGACCAACCAAAACUCUUUUUGUAUACCCCCUCGCGGGUUUUUUUAUAAUCUGAGCCUUCUCGGCGCCUCUCGUAGGCGUUUCGAAAAUGAAUCAAAACUUUCAACAACGGAUCUCUUGGUUCUGGCAUCGAUGAAGAACGCAGCGAAAUGCGAUAAGUAAUGUGAAUUGCAGAAUUCAGUGAAUCAUCGAAUCUUUGAACGCACAUUGCGCCCGCCAGUAUUCUGGCGGGCAUGCCUGUCCGAGCGUCAUUUCAACCCUCGAACCCCUCCGGGGGGUCGGCGUUGGGGAUCGGCCCUCCCUUAGCGGGUGGCCGUCUCCGAAAUACAGUGGCGGUCUCGCCGCAGCCUCUCCUGCGCAGUAGUUUGCACACUCGCAUCGGGAGCGCGGCGCGUCCACAGCCGUUAAACACCCAACUUCUGAAAUGUUGACCUCGGAUCAGGUAGGAAUACCCGCUGAACUUAAGCAUAUCAAUAAGCGGAGG
rnacentral:rRNA from 1 species